GUAACUAAUGAAAAUACUGAAGAGUACCAAAACUGAGUAACCCUGGCAAAUCCUAUUUGGUGCCCAGGGGAUGACUGCAGUGGGAGCUUUGAUGAUGGUGAAAUUUCAAAAAACCCUAUGAAGAUGGAGCACAAUGUUCUUGAAGAUUGGGAGAUCUUAUUAGGAAAAUCGGCCUUUUGGCACAUCUUCAGAGCAGACCAGGAGUGUCCUGAUUAUUACCUCGACAAUUUUAUUAUUCAACUUGGAAAAGCUGCUCUUUACAAAAUACAUUUUAUCUUUUUUUUGCUUUAACUGCUGUGUUUAAAAGCAUCACAAAUUAAUCUUUUUCUUUCUCUUCUUUUCUACUUUUUUUUCUUCUUUCUAUUUUCUCUUUUGUUCAUGUUACUAACUUUAACACAGGUAAGUACAUACAGGUUAGGUUCUCAACUUAUGCAUUCAGGGCAACUCCACUUAGCUGUGCUCUACAAGAAUUGAAGAUCUGCCAUCAUUAGAUAUGCAAAACCAAGGAAGCAUGAGCUGUCUUUGUAGCACAAGGAUUUGGCAUUCUGUGUGACAAUUGGUGGUGUGAGACUGAUGACUCCUGGUUCUCUCUGGAGGAGAAACUAGUCAUAAUUUUCCUGUGUAUGAUGCAUUUCUAUACAUUCUGUAAAUGUUCAAUCUUCAGACAGUGUUUA